GGGUCGAUAGCUCUGUCGGGAGAGUAUGAGGCUCUUAAUCUCAGGGGUGUGAGUUUGAGCCCCAUGUUGGACCA